CCUACGGGAGGCAGCAGUGGGGAAUCUUGCACAAUGGAGGAAACUCUGAUGCAGCGAUGCCGCGUGAGUGAAGAAGGCCCUUGGGUUGUAAAGCUCUUUCGUCGGGGAAGAAAAUGACUGUACCCGAAUAAGAAGGUCCGGCUAACUUCGUGCCAGCAGCCGCGGUAAUACGAAGGGACCUAGCGUAGUUCGGAAUUACUGGGCUUAAAGAGUUCGUAGGUGGUUGAAAAAGUUGGUGGUGAAAUCCCAGAGCUUAACUCUGGAACUGCCAUCAAAACUUUUCAGCUAGAGUAUGAUAGAGGAAAGCAGAAUUUCUAGUGUAGAGGUGAAAUUCGUAGAUAUUAGAAAGAAUACCAAUUGCGAAGGCAGCUUUCUGGAUCAUUACUGACACUGAGGAACGAAAGCAUGGGUAGCGAAGAGGAUUAGAUACCCUCGUAGUCCAUGCCGUAAACGAUGUGUGUUAGACGUUGGAAAUUUGUUUUCAGUGUCGCAGGGAAACCGAUAAACACACCGCCUGGGGAGUACGACCGCAAGGUUAAAACUCAAAGGAAUUGACGG
rnacentral:rRNA from 1 species